GCCCUCUUAGGGUUUGAAAUGUGGGGGAAAAAAAAAGAGAAUCACUGCUUAUCUUAGUCUGUUCGGGUAGCUGUAACAAAAUACCAUACCUGAGUGACUUACAAGUAAUAGAAAUGUUAUUUCUCACAUUUCUGGAGUCUGGGAAGCCCAAGAUCAAGGUGCUAGCAGAUUUGGUGUCUGGUAUCUACUGACCUGGUUAUCGCUUCUUCCUUUAAGGAGUAUUAGAACACUGCUGGGGAUGGGCUGACAAACAUACCAGGGAUUUUACUUUGUGUCAGCCAAGAGGCUUUCCUUACCUCCUUGUCUUCAGUACUCUUGUGCACAAGCAUGCUUCUCAGAGAAGGUGGAUUCUACCUUGGAAGGAAAUGAGUCGUUUCCUCCCAUCAGGACAACUGCCACAGCAUGGUGUCAACUCACUCUUGCCUUUCGUAAAUUGAGUUUGUCAGUGCUCAGCGACACAGCUGAGUGAAAUGUUGUGUGAUGCGGGCUGUCUCCUGGGAGAGAGAAACUGGCAUAAACCACAUCCUAAUGGGAUCCAGAAACAAAGAAGCGUGAAUGAAGUGUUAAUUGCAUUCAUAAAGACAUUAACAAAGGAAUUAAAAUGGCAGAAGCUUCAGUCCCCCACUCAAGAUUCACAGAAAAAUAUGUUAUCCAAAGAAUGUUUCAACAAUAAUCAUCAAAGUUUAUUGCUUGCCCAUUGGGGAAAUAACUCUUGAUACAUAUUAACUUUUCAAAGAACAUUUUGGGUCCAUUAUUUUGAGUAUAUUAACUAACAGACAGUUUAUUCCACCCUACCUCCAGUUCUUUGCUUGCUUUUGUAUGAUUUAAGUUUCAAAAAAAUCCAGAGGCAUUUUCAGUGCUGCUUCAUUAACCAUAAGGAUGUCUGUUAACAGUUUGAACCUAAUCAAUCCUACAGUUCUUAUUAGAGCAAAAUGCUCAUUAUCUGGGAGAAUUUUUGCUUUUUGAAAUAAAAUUACAAGACUGGGGGUUUAUUUUACAGUCCCUCUUGAAUAUUCCUGAGAUGAUCUGCAAUGUGGGCAACCCGGGGCUCCCUCCCCAGCCCUGUGGCAGGGCCCCCCAGCUGCUGACAGCGGGGCUAAGCUGGCAAAAGGUCAGGAGGCUGCAUUUCACUGAAGAUGGAUCGCACAGAUGAAUAUUGCGCUUGCUUAAUGAAGUCAAGGCCACGGAUUUGGGGCCUUUUAUGGUUCUUCUUGUUUCACUCAAUUUCACCUUCAUAGACCACGCCACUAAUCCCAGCCAAUCAUUUUGUAGAUAUGUGCAACUGGUGACUAAGGGACUAGAUAAAAGUAAAUGAAUCUAAAAAACAGUGACCAGAAAUUCAGAAAUCUCUGUGCCUAUAACAAACUCAGAAUUAAAAAAAAAAAGCAUGCAGAGUGAGUGUUUCGUGAUCCUUGCAGAAACUCUGUGAGAUAUAUGGAGCCGACAUUCCUACCUUCAUUCUGCAGAUAUUUUUCAGACCCUGCAUCCUGAUGAACCAACUGGCACCACCCAGACUGGUAAACUGGCCCAACUUGUUCUGCCAUCCCACCCAGAAACUGAAGACAGCAAGAAGAACCUGCUUCAACCCCCUAUGAUUUCAGCCCCAACCCAACCAAAGCAUUCCCCCACUCCCUAGCCCCAUGACCACCAAAUUACGCUUAAAAAACCCUAGUCUUCAAAUUUUUGGGGAGACCAAUUUAAGUAAUAAAAUUCUGGUCUUCUGUUUAGCCAGCUCUGCAUUUAUUAAACUAUUUCUCUAUUGUAAUAAUGCUAUCUCAGUAAAUUGGCUCUGUCUGUGCAAGUGCAACAGGCAAGAACAACUGUAAGGGCAGUUAUAAUCUCAAAGCAGCCAUUUUAUUGGGCCAAAUCACUUUUGUCCCAGUAUAGCCAUAUGUUGCUUAAUGACGUGGAUAUGUUUUGUGAAAUGCAUCAUUAGGUGAUUUUGUCAUUGUGUGACACCAUACAGUGUGC
rnacentral:lncRNA from 1 species